rnacentral:rRNA from 1 species
GACGAGGGGUCCUAGCGUUGUUCGGAAUCAUUGGGCGUAAAGAGCGUGUAGGCGGCCAGAUAGGUCAGCUGUGAAAACUCGAGGCUCAACCUCGAGACGUCGGUUGAAACCAUCUGGCUAGAGUCCGGAAGGGGAGAGUGGAAUUCCCGGUGUAGCGGUGAAAUGCGCAGAUAUCGGGAAGAACACCCGUGGCGAAGGCGGCUCUCUGGGACGGUACUGACGCUGAGACGCGAAAGCGUGGGGAGCGAACAGG